ACGACAACAACAACAGAAAGAGGCACAACAACAACAAGAUCUCCAAAAAAUAGCCAUGAAAAAUUUCAAACAGUAUUGGUAGAAACACAAUUUGAAGUACAAUACCAACAAGAUCCAACAACAAAUGUUUCCACAUCAAAUGUCUCCAUGACAGGGUCACAUCUUCAGUAUUUGCCACGUUCUAGAUGCAAUUCAUUAGAUGAUUAUCUUUACAACAAUUCAUUCGAUGAAACCCUAUCCAUACCGAUAUCGACACCCGCACCAAAUGACAAUAGUAAGGCAAUACCUACAACAACCUCAACUACGACUGCAACUACAUCAGCCAAUCAGAAAAGCAAAAAACAAAUUCAACAUUAGAGCGCAAAUUGGACAUUUUAAAUACCAAAUUAGAUUACAUAAUAGAUGUAUUACACGAAAAAUCAGGACAUAGUGAGCCAGUAAAUGAAUUUGAUUUCGAAGCAAUACAGGACCAAAAACAAUUAGAGGAUUUUGAAAGCCAGCUAGGAGAAUCAAACGGUACUUUUAAACAAAAAAUUUUAACGGAACUGCGAAGUUCAUUAAAGUUAGGGAACUCUAAAUACCAAAUACACCAAGCAUUGGACUUACUAUUUUCCCGGCAAUUUUUAGCUAAAAUGACUUGGUCCGGACGCAGUAAAACAGAGCAAAAGAUUCCUUUCUCGUCCUACACUAACAUUAAAAAAUUAUUCUUGGAAAUUGCGGAGACAAAAUUUGAGAAACCGGCGGAAAGAUUUGUUUUUGAUUAUA